rnacentral:tRNA from 6 species
GGGGAUGUAGCUCAAUUGGGAGAGCGCUGCCCUUGCAAGGCAGAGGUUAGCGGUUCGACCCCGCUCAUCUCCACCA